UACGUAGGGAGCAAGCGUUGUCCGGAAUCAUUGGGCGUAAAGCGCGCGUAGGUGGCCAUGUAAGUCCGCUGUGAAAGUCAAAGGCUCAACCUUUGAAAGCCGGUGGAUACUGCAUGGCUAGAGUACGGAAGAGGCGAGUGGAAUUCCUGGUGUAGCGGUGGAAUGCGCAGAUAUCAGGAGGAACACCAAUAGCGAAGGCAGCUCGCUGGGACGUCACUGACACUGAGGCGCGAAAGCGUGGGGAGCAAACAGG
rnacentral:rRNA from 1 species